UACGGAGGGUGCAAGCGUUAUCCGGAUUCACUGGGUUUAAAGGGUGCGUAGGUGGCUUUGUAAGUCAGUGGUGAAAGCUCGGAGCUCAACUCCGAAACUGCCAUUGAUACUGCUUAGCUUGAAUCAGGUCGAGGUGGAUGGAAUGUGACAUGUAGCGGUGAAAUGCUUAGAUAUGUUACAGAACACCGAUUGCGAAGGCAGUUCACCAGCCCUGUAUUGACACUGAGGCACGAAAGCGUGGGGAUCAAACAGG
rnacentral:rRNA from 1 species